GGCGUUGGGCGUCACCUCGGCCACCGGAGGGCGCGCUAUGACAGCGACGGGGUUUCCAACUGAGACUACAGCCUAGCAGUGUCCAAGGAAGAAGCCCAGGCCAGCCCUGCCAGGGGACCUCGAGGCCUGGCGCUCGCGCAGACCCCUAGCCCGACCUCCGGUCUGGUCCCCAGGGACAGCAAGGAGCAAGCAGGGCGGGCUGCACCUUAAGAGCAGCAUCGUCAAGGUACUGAACACCCCUCGUUGACAGUAUGCACUCAUUGAUAAGUAGAUAUUGACCAAAACCUCGAAUUACCCAAGAUGCAAUCAACAGAUCUCAGGAAACUCAAGAAGGAGGAUGACCAAAGUGCAGAUGCUCCCACUCCUUCUUAAAAUGGGGAACAAAAAUAUCCAUAGGAGGGGAUAUGGAGGCCAAAUCUAAAGCAGAGACUGAAGGAACAGCCAUUCAGAGUCUGCCCCACAUGUGGCCCAUAUGUAUACAGCCACCAAAACUAGGUUUUGGUAGGAAGGCAUCAUCCCAAAAUGUCAUCAGUAAGCAAGAGGAGUGUCUAAAGGAACUGGAGGAACUCAAAUUUGAAAUCCAGAAGUGUCAAUUCGAGAGGGAUGAACUUUAUCAAAUCCUGGAUCUUUAUAUCUAUGAUGAGUGGGACCACAGGUAGUCAUUAUGCCCAGUAACCUGUUCACUUUCUUGCGCUCACUAUGCUACCUCAAGAUUUACUAAUAGCACGAGAGAGUUUCACCUCUCAUCCUGGAUUUUAAGGAGAUUUGGCAGGCAUUUGCUUGUGAGAUAAGCUAGGUGCUGUGUGUUUAGGGUCAACCUCUUUUGUACUUGACCCUGAGCCUCUUGGAUUAGCGUUGGUUCUGUCAACAGCUAGAAGGACCUGGUCACCCUUGCUGCAACUGUGUGUGUGAAUGAAAUGCCUGCACGUCAUCACUCUUUCCUCUGAAUUUGUUCAUUAUACACUGAUUCUAUGGCACCUCCAUGGAUGUAGUUGGCAUUCUAAGUGUGUUUGGAUAUGGGUUGCUAUGUAUGUAUGUGGACGUAUAUGUGGUGUUUUACUCAGGAUCAGGAGGUCUGGGACCUUUGAUGGGGUCUGAGGAUUUGUUUGAUCAACAGUUUGCAGGUCAUGAUAGUGAUGAGUAUGUGGAGGCCCACAGAAUCAAACGAGCACUUUGCUCCUUCUGUAUACCUUGGUGGCACCCAGGACUCUCCCGAGGGUAGGAGGUGCUAUAAAUCCUCUUCCCUGUCAAACUUAGUUAUGCCCUCUGGGAAUUCAUGUAACAAUAGAAACCAAGGAUUGAGUAUACCUGCUUUCAAAACAAGAGAAAUGUCAUCACAGCUUUCUCUUGGGCCCAAAGCUGUGGCACAGACUGGAGGAAUCUUCUUCCUGAACUAGUCAAUUCCAUCAUGCUCACCUGGCCAGCUCUUGAAGGUCAGGUCCCUCAAAUUGGUACCGUGACUCUGUUGUCCUGUG